rnacentral:ncRNA from 20 species
UGUCGUGGCACGGCGGCCGGUACCGCCCGAGGCGGUGCCGGCGUCACGGGGGAAGCCGGUGGAAUUCCGGCGCUGUCGCGCAACGGUAAAAGCCCGAAUGCCCGCCCGGAAGUGCGAUCACGGC